rnacentral:lncRNA from 1 species
UCCCACAAGAGUAGUUUGGUCAUAUUUUCUCAAAGAGAUGAUGCAUAAACUAGAUUUGACUCAACAGUCAAUGAGUCCAAGCUUAUAUUUUUUCAGUUUGUUAAUCAUUUCUUCUCCAAUAUGACUUAGCUAUAGGUUCCACAUAUACUUUAAAUUUUAUCCCAAUUUUGGAUCUCUCAGAUCCAAUGGUAUUCACUGAUUAUUCAAUUAAGUUCACAUAUGCAUCAACAUGCAAAUGAU